ACGUUAAACGUCUGACUGAGUGAAAUCGCGUAAGGUAGAAAACUCAGCGCGGCCGAGCCUUGCAAAUGCCUGAAGCCUCGACUGUAGGAGUCAGAGCAAAGCCGCGGCGGGCCGGUUGCCGUUAGCUGGAGUUGAAUUCACCCUAGCAUUCAUCACCAACUGAUAGAAUACAAAUUUCUGUGUUUAUUACCUGCUUGGCCCUUGGAAUGUGAAAAAGACUAAGCGCUGACUAAUGAACAAAGCCUCAUGAUAGCUGAGUAAUGCCUAGUGGUUAAUAUUUGAUGGUAUGUGGCGAGAAUCCACUGCUACUUAAUCAAGAGGAAUUGAGAUGGACUUAUCCACCCAGCGCAGACACUGUCUUGAAGGACAUUGGGAAUGAGAAGGGCUCAAGCAGAUUUUACUGUCAUACCCACAGGAUGCCAGCCAUUGAUCUUUCCUCCUUUGUGAACACUGAUUUACGUGGCAGAUUGCGUGAUGCCAGGAUGUUUGUGAUGGUGUAGGAUCCAGUGACCCUUGAGGAUGUGGCUGUGGAAUUCACCCAGGAGGAGUGGACUUUGCUGGAUCCAAUCAGAGAAACCUGUACAGAGAUGAGAUGCUGGAGAACCACAAGAAUCUGGUUGCA